GAGUUUGAUCGUGGCUCAGAUUGAACGCUGGCGGCAGGCCUAACACAUGCAAGUCGAGCGGUAGAGAGAAGCUUGCUUCUCUUGAGAGCGGCGGACGGGUGAGUAAUGCCUAGGAAUCUGCCUGGUAGUGGGGGAUAACGCUCGGAAACGGACGCUAAUACCGCAUACGUCCUACGGGAGAAAGCAGGGGACCUUCGGGCCUUGCGCUAUCAGAUGAGCCUAGGUCGGAUUAGCUAGUUGGUGAGGUAAUGGCUCACCAAGGCGACGAUCCGUAACUGGUCUGAGAGGAUGAUCAGUCACACUGGAACUGAGACACGGUCCAGACUCCUACGGGAGGCAGCAGUGGGGAAUAUUGGACAAUGGGCGAAAGCCUGAUCCAGCCAUGCCGCGUGUGUGAAGAAGGUCUUCGGAUUGUAAAGCACUUUAAGUUGGG
rnacentral:rRNA from 1 species